rnacentral:lncRNA from 1 species
UAAACAAGACAUAAUCUCUCAUACAAUAAAGCAGGAAGGGAAGGAUAUACACAAAAUACGUGCUAUAGGUUUUAUAGGAACUAUGUAAGAAGUAUAUACAGGGUAUGAUGGGAUACAAGGAGGGAGUUACAAAAGACUUCACACUGGAAUUAGGUUUUAAAAUAUAAAACAGUGUUGGCAAUUAAAGAAGUGGGUGGAGAGAAUGUAGAAUGUCCAACAACAUGGCAUGUUUUGGAACCCACAAACUUUCAGUGUGACUAGAACAGAGGUCAUAAGAGGAUUCAAGACUAGAAACAAGGUUAAUCUGGAAAUGGUAUCGAGAGUAGACUGUAAUGAGACCAGACUGGUGGCAGGAAGACAAUUGCAGCUGCCCGGUGACAGAAGAGCAAAAGCCGAAUUAAGGCACCCUCUAUGGACCAGAGAACAACCUCUAGGAGUUGAGAGCAGUCCCUGGCUGAUACCAAGAAAACAAGACUUCAGUUCUAAAGCUGCAGAGGAAUGAAAUCUGCCAAUAAAAGGAAUGAUCUUGGAAGAGGACUAUGAGCUCCAGUUUUUCUUCCAGCUCUCAUGGAAACAAGCACUGCCACAGCCCCUUGAUGAGCCAGCAGAGUCCAGUCAUCUGGCAACAAUGACAGGUAUCUGGCAUCUGAGAGGAAUAUCAACUGAAGACAAUGAGAGAAUUAAAAAAGAAGUAAACACAAGACAAUCUUUUUUCACCCCCUUAGAUUCUGCAUUUCCACUUGCUUGAUUCAGUAAUUGUUUUGUUUUGAAUGUUGUGUAAAUGAAUGCUACAGCCCUAUGCAAUUUUUAAACCACUUUGCUGUGUGUCUCAUAUGGAGCUCAACAAUGUUACUGCUGGCAUGAGUGCACCAUAAAGCAUAUGACUCCCUGAUGUAACAUUUUAAAUAAGGAUACAUUUCUCAUCCAAUGUGACAUUAUGCAGGAAAAUUUCACUUCGUCACCUGUUUCUCAUGAGAGCUUGAGAAAGCUAUAUAAUUUUUUUUUUUUUUUGAGUCAGAGUCUUGCUCUGUCACCCAGGCUGGAGUGCAAUGGCACAAU